AGCUAAUUAGUUUAAAUAAAAUAAUGAUUUGCAAAAUCUUAGAUUUUUAGCUU
rnacentral:tRNA from 1 species